rnacentral:rRNA from 1 species
UGCCAGCCGCCGCGGUAAUACGGAGGGUGCAAACGUUGUUCGGAAUUACUGGGCGUAAAGCGCGCGUAGGCGGCUAUUUAAGUCAGAUGUGAAAGUCCACGGCUCAACCCCGGAAGUGCAUUGGAUACUGGCAGUCUUGAGUAUGGGAGAGGAAAGUGGAAUUCCGAGUGUAGGAGUGAAAUCCGUAGAUAUUCGGAGGAACACCAGUGGCGAAGGCGGCUUUCUGGACCAAUACUGACGCUGAGAUGCGAAAGCGUGGGGAGCGAACAGGAUUAGAUA